rnacentral:rRNA from 1 species
AAUCAACGCUGGCGGCGUGCCUAACACAUGCAAGUCGAACGCGAAAGUCCCGCAAGGGAUCAGUAGAGUGGCAAACGGGUGAGUAACGCGUGGGUGACCUGCCUUCGAGCGGGGGAUAACGUCCCGAAAGGGACGCUAAUACCGCAUAACAUCCUGCCUUUUAACAGGCGGAGAUCAAAGCUGGGGAUCGCAAGACCUAGCACUCGAUGAGGGGCCCGCGUCUGAUUAGCUAGUUGGUGAGGUAACGGCUCACCAAGGCGACGAUCAGUAUCCGGCCUGAGAGGGCGGACGGACACACUGGGACUGAGACACGGCCCAGACUCCUACGGGAGGCAGCAGUGGGGAAUUGUUCGCAAUGGGCGCAAGCCUGACGACGCAACGCCGCGUGGAGGAUGAAGA